CCUCGAGGAACACUUCCAGGCCACGCAGCUCCCGCAGCACGCGCUCGUGCACUGGACGCAGGGCCCGCCCCCCGCGCUGCCGCCCCCACCCGCGGCCUCCAACCCCACGUAGGCCAGGUAAAGUGGCGGGGCAGCGUAUCCGUUGGGUAAGCCGGACCACAACCUGUUAUUUAGGUAAGCUGAACGCUGAAUUAUCUCAAGUACGAAGGUUUAGAGUUCCAUGGACGCCUCUCCACUGCUCGUUAUAGAAAACAAUAUUGCGCGCGGCAGUUGACGUCUUUCGCGGUUAAAGGGUUUUAAGAAAACAACGCCAGCAGACUCGCAACACUCGAGAGCUCUCGAGAAACUCUAGCUGCGCCUGAGAUCCCCUUCAACAACUCGAAGCCGGUUUUCAUUCGCUACGCUUUAGAGCCCUCUAGUAGAUCAGGUGACAACCAAAAAUCACUAACUACAAAUUCAGAACCAUAGUGAAAGUAAUAAGUUUUGGUUGCCAUCUCCCUGAAAGUAAGUCCCGAAGCUCCUAUUUAUUAUUGCCUGUUUAUAAAUGGGGCAUCUUCUAUGAAAAGGGACCUUAUUGUCGAUGUCGCUUACGCCGCACAGCGCGCGCGGCUUUGUAUUUAUAUCGGAGCAUCGUUUAUAAUGGCGUAAGCGCCAUCGACAAUAAGGUCCCUUUUUAUAGGAAAUACCACAACUGAUGAAUGCCGUGCAGUAAUAAGAGUGUGUUGAGAGAAAAUAGAAAGAGAUAAAUAGUCGAAGAGUGACAAACUCAUAAGCGCGCUGUUGUUUUAUGCGAUAAACGCUGCGUUGAACGCACGCGUCAACGGAAUGUAGGAAAAAUUACAAUGCGCUUACCGCUCUGCUUUUACAAUGUAGUGUCAUUAGAUAAUCUGAUGUAAAAUGGGUGGGCGGCAAACACAUCGCGGCGUUUAUCGCAUAAAACAACCGCGCUCUAUAAUAAUCGACUUAACCCUUUGAACGACACGCCUAUCGUACUCGGCGCGUUAUCCUGAACCUUAUCGGAACGCACGAAGAUUGAUAUUCGGCUGUGGCCGCGCGCGUCUGUUGACGUCUUUGGCGGGCAAAGUGUUAACACGCGUGAAGUAUUGCAAAAUAUUCAAACUGCAUAUUUGACAGCUAAAGUAGAUGGCGCUACACGUUACUAUACAUUAUUUAUGCGAUGACAACACAGUUACCAAAAAACGCAUGGUCGCGUGUAACGCCAUUUACUGAUAUUAAUUUAUCUAUGUUAUUUUUGUCAUAUGACGAUUAUGCAUCUCUUUAAGAAGGACAGGUUGUGUGGUUAAAUUAAUGGGUUGCGUGCUCUACUGAAUUUGGACACUUUCAUCAAGUGAAAUCAAUUUGUUAAUGAAAGUGUAUAUUCAAAGCCACUGGCCUUAUGUACAUAGAAUUAAAUUAAUUUAUCGCACAUUUGUGGUAUUUUCUAUAAAAAGGGACCUUAUUGUCGAUGGCGAUUACGCCAUUAUUAACGAUGCUCUGAUAUAAUUACAAUGCCGCGCGACGCUGUGCAGCGCCAUCGACAAUAAGGUCCCUUUUCAUAGAAAAUGUCCCAUUUAUUUAAUAAUACGCGACGCAAAUAAAGCUUCCCUGUAAAUACAGUCGCCAUUCGAUAUAUCGGAGCGGCCGAGGUGCUCACAAAUAUCUGAACACGACUCUAUUGAGUGCGAGUUAGAGUGCGUGUUCAGAUAUUUUUGAGCACCUCGGUCGCUCCGAUAUAUCUGAUGGCGACUGUACAUGUAUAAAAAUGUAAUAUAAAAAAUAAAACUGUGGUACACUGAAGUUUAUAAAUAUCAAAGACGUAAUGAUCGUGAGAUGUAAAGUCGAAGACAAAAUCGUGCCUCGAAUUUGACAGAUGAUGGAGAUGGCUGUGUGACUCUGUACAGGCCGCGUAGCCAACAUGCCAAUCGCUUACGCUCCGUAGCGAUCGAAACGCAACUGUCACUGUCACACAAGUAUGAAAGAGUGAUAGAGAGAUACAAAGCUUUUCGUUGUCGUAGCGAUAGCGAUUAUCACCUUGGCUAAGCCGGCUGGUCGAUUCACAAGAGCAGGAUGGAAUGAAUGAGUGAAUGAUAUAUCUGUGUGCGCAAUUAACCAAUAAAAUGGCGGCUCUGACUGUAUACCGAUACAGGUGUCACUCGUAAAAUGAAAGAUUCGUUAAUUCCAUUCUCGUCAGCUUGCCUAACCUGUGCGGUAACUGGUUAUCAAAACUCGACGUUAGAUUCGAUGACCACAAAACAAGGCGCCAUAACCUAAGGCCCAGCCAUACAAAUGAAAAAUCCAAAAUUUACCACUGAAAUUUGAACCUAUAGUGUAGGAAAUAGAGUUGAUUUUGCGUUGUUGGAAAAUUGAACGAAACAGCAAAAGCGACUGUUCCAAUUGAAUAGGAUUUAAAUUUCAUCGAACUGAAUAGGUAGGCCUUAGGAUAAAACGCCGUCUACUCCCUCUAUGGUGACUGCUAUAGUUAUUGGCCACUCCUAACAGAUCAGAAAGAAACAAGCUAAAACUUCAUCUUCAUGGCUAAAGCCUUAUUGUUAAGAGUGGCCAAUAACUAUUGCAGUCACCCUAGUUUGGCUGUCAAACUCGGGCGCACUUUUUUAUUGGACUUCAUCUCUCUAUUACAAUCAAUGACUCUUUGAUAAAUGUAUGGUUGAGUUCACAAAUAUCUUUACAAGCCAUCGCUCCAAAAAUAUAUUUACAGGACCUUAUUUCCAAUGUCUUAAAGGCGUUUAAAUAUAUUUUUGGACGUUGCAUUGUAAAAAAAUUUAUGAACCUACUGGUACUUCGUUUUGACUGACAACAUAAACAACGUGCUCUUCCAAAACAAAACAACAAAAUUCCAAGGCGAUGGUCAAUUUGAUUUUCAAUGCCGAACAUGUUGUAUAUUUCGUUUAUUAUUUAUUAAUCAAAAUACAUAAAACACAUGAACAAAAAGGAAGGCAGAUAAAAUUAAUACCUUAAAACCUAAGGGACUAAAAUUAAAAUACAACUAAAUAUAUAAAAAAAAACCUCCCCCAAAUCCCCUGGCAUAUACCCCAGAAUACUGGCGGCGUUACCUCUUUGCACCAGACAACGUCUGAGCAAAGAAGGAGCCCGCUCUGUGGUGCCCCGACACCUAUCAGAUGUUCCGACACCUUUUUAAUAAAUUUUUUGGUCCCCAGCAAGCUCAGCUAAAUUUCACCGACCCAUACAAACGGAGUUUCGUUCUCAUUUUAAAACUACGGGUUGGAUUGUAAUGAGACUUUGCACAUACAAUGAUAUGAGGUAUAUCUAGGUUUGUAAUUAGUUUAUAGCUCUAGUAUAUAAAACAAACGAAAUAGAGCAAAAACAAGUUUUGUAUGAAAAACUUAAAUUCGCUGUAUUUUUUUCACUAUUGUAUCUGAAGCUACAUAAACUAAUUACAGGCCUAGAUAUACAUUAUCCUAUUGUAAGUAAAAGGUUUCAGAGCAAUCUAGCUAGUAGUUUUAAAAUGAGAGCGUAACUACGUUUGUAUGGAGAACCGAGCUUGCCGGGGAUUCUUAAUGACAAACUUUUCAAAAUAAAUGUAAAAUACAUUAUUAAGACAAAUAUUCCCCUAAUGGGUACUCGUUUUUUUCAUUCUACAUAAACUCACAGCCGUCUUACUUUAAAAACAAAACGAAGAUACUUAUAAAAAAAAUAUUUCGCUUCCAUAAUAAAAAAAAAAAAAAAAUUCCAUAAUUAUAUUGAACGAUAUCAUAUUUAUUCCUAACAUUGUUACAAGGUUUCAGUUACACCGCAGUUUCUUCUCAGCAAAUACAUAUUGCAGUGGUUUACAUUUACAAAAAAAUAUGACACGUACGCUGACAUCAUUGGCACUAGCUAGCAAAUAUAAACUGUAUUUGAAAGCAUGAAGGUUAAUUUGAAAGCGUACGAAUUUACGACGCCUUUAUCAAUUCUUGGCGUUCAGUUUUAAAGUCGCGUUGACGAAACACUAGAUUUAUAUUGGCUAUAAUUAAAAUUGAUUAUUGAAUGAAUUUAAAUUGCACUUUUAUUUCUAUUAAGUUAUUUUUAAUUAGGAAACGACAAAAACGCCUUAAAUUAUAUAAAUUGCAUAUGUGUGAUCCGAUGUGCGCUCAAAAAUGGUGUACGGAUAGUGGGAACUCUUUCACAUUUUAGUCUUUGAACCCUUUGAGCCUAUCGUGUGAGGGGCGCGUCAUUGUCAACCUUGUCGCAAUGCAAACGUCUUUGGCGGUCAAAGGGGCAAUGUUGUCUAGACUGUGAAAAAGGGUUUCUCACUAUGGACACUAUAGUUGACUAUGAUUUUAUGAGAUGUGUGAAUGAUUAUGACAUGAUUAGUGAUUUUUAUAAAAUUAUAAAUGAGCGCAGACGCAAAGUAGGUCUAAUUUAUUAUUGGAUUAAGGGUUAUAAAUUGUGAAAAUUCACAUAAUGAAAGAAAGACAUAAUUUCGAUGCGGGUUUAUUCUUAUAGUUCUCCGUUUUUAAAUCAAUUACCAGUUAUUGGAUACUUAUGACUUGUGAUUUUUGCAACUAAUAAGUUUUUGAGUUUUUGACUUUAUUGCCGAUCGUUAUUUUCUUUAUACGGUCAUCUAUUUCUUUUUAAGACGUUUCUAACGAGCCCAAACUGAGAUUGCCUUAUUUUAUUACAGUCUUCCUAUGGCCACCUUCCUCCACAAUCAUCUAGCCAUGACACUAUAACAAUGUAUUUCACCGAAGUUACGUAACCGCACUAAACGACUAUAAAAAAACCUGCUGGGUUAAGUGAUUCUACACUGCACUUGACAUUCGUGUUUAGAAAAACUUAAGGUGUGUGAAAGAGAGCAAUUCAAGUUAUAAUUCUGACAAUAACUUCAUAUCAUUCGAGGGUGCGUAUGUUGCUUCGCUGUUCUUCUGGGUAUUUAAAUAACACCAUAGGUCUAAUCUAAUGUAUACAUUUUCAAAAUUUCAAGUGAUAGUUGUAUUAUUGCAACAUCAAAAAAUACCGGUUAUCAAAACGUUCUAUACGAAAUGUUUACUCUUAUGGCUUAAAUAUCAGUUAUAGUAAAGAAAACCCAGCACAAAUGACAAUGACAAUCGUUUAAUUAGCUCGCUCUUUAUUUUUUCAUAUUUGCCUUUAGAUGGCGGGUUCAUGAUGAUGUUCAGGGUUUAAGAAAACCCCAAUUGCUUGUUUUUUAAUGUAUUUCCAUUUAGAAUAUGAAACUAUUAACCCUUUUGCAGGCUUAGUACGAUUUAUUAACCACAUACAUGUCUAUAGAACUUCAUUUUUUACACUCCGAUUUAAAGUUUAGAUCAGAUUGAACUUUCGCAAAACUUCUUUUCUUGAUAUCUUUGUAAGGCCCACCACCCUACCCAGUGUACUAAUUUCUUCAAUGUAAUAUAAAUAUAAACCAUUUUCAAUCGGACCACAAUUGCAUUUCUUUUGUUACGUUCGUUUUGAAAACAAAAGAAAUUCAACCAUAUUUCCUUCACUAUUGAUUACAAUUCCUAUGGCUUUUUUUGUAGGUAUGGUCUGCCUUAGGGGGGUAUGAAUCACUAGAACGUAAAGUAACUAAGGUAGACGUCAGAGUGCUCGCGAUUGUCCCAUUACAUGUGCGUCAUUAGCAAUAGAGAUGACAGAAGAGUGGCCUAUUAGGCAUGUCGAGCAUUGGGACUUUUUAAAAGAAGAAGGGUUAAUAAUCUCAAGACUUGUUAAUAGAACAAAUUUCGAAUAUUAAUUAAAAAUGUAUCCUUAUUUAUAAUUUUGUUAUGAUUAUUGUCUGAAUUGAAUUAUUAAAAUGCAUGAUGCUUUCUUUAACUAAAAUUGGAAGAUUGGAUUUGGGCUGAUACUUAUAAGAUAUCAGUUCAUGUAGAUAAGGCCGCAACUCAUGACGCCGCAUUUGACCCAAUAUUUGAAAUGACAUGCAUCCAAUUAUAACAAAUGAUAGAGAUGUCAUGUGAGUGGUCGGUCUCAGAUCUCAUGCGUCAUCAUAAACCAUUGGUAGGCUGGCCGAAAACAGUUGCUAUACCUAUUAAAUUUAAACUUGUUAGCUUAAUGGGGCCUCGUAUACACAUUGUUCAUAAAUCAUUUACUUGCUUGAAAAGGGUACAGUUACAGAUGUUCGCGUUUGUUGUUGUCUUUAUUCAGCUGUCCAUAAACAGCAUGCAAACAAUAGAAUUGUAUAAGCAAGAAUAUAGAAAAGCCUACUAAUAAUAAUAUAAUAAUAGGUUUCAAAUUCAAAACAUAUGUCUCUGGAACACAGGAGACGAAAACCUUUGACCGCCACGCCUUUCGUUUGCGGUGCGUCAUUGUAAACAUUGUUGAAAUGCACAAAGGUUGAGAUUAACCGCGCGCGUGGACGUCUUUGGCGGCCAAAGGGUUAACUAUUUAUGGUUUGUAAAUAUGUUUAGCUGCUUCUGUGUUCGGCCGGACUAGAAAUAAAAAUGACGAAUAAUAUACGUCUUAAAAUCUAGAAAAUACGAUAAUGUGACCGUUAUAUGACCGAAUUGUCGAUUUAUUUUAAAUUCCAAGAUAAUAUUACUUAACUUUCACCAACUCAUUUGUAUAGUAUGUGAAAAUGACCGCGUACUUUGAGCUUCCUAUGCCUAUGCAACGCGGAAAACUGUUUAGGUAUCAAACCUUUUGAUGAACACUUCCUGUCUGGCUGCUAAGAGGGACAGAUAAACACAUACCUUUCUCUGUUCCUCUUAGCACAGUGUCCUGAAAAAGGGUAGGUAUAUUCUUUAUGCCCAAAGUGACGCUAAAAACGCACGCACGAACGUUCAAUCGUAUACGCUGUACUGCACCUUAUCGUGCGCGGCACGAAGGUUGAUGAUAGGCUGUUGAUGUCUUACACGGUAGGCUGUUGACGUCUUACACGGUCAAAGGGCUAACUGACAAUUUGACAACCUUAUUGAAAAGACAUAAGUUCCACAAGAUAAAUAUUAAACUCUAAUUGAAAGAAAUAGGGUUCAACAUCUCUUUUAACCAUGUUUUUUGUGUUGCAUAGCCAUAGCUAGACGCGUAUAGCCAAGACAUCGCGCCUAAGGAGAGAGAGCAUAAUAAUGUCUUAUUCCGCACAAGAAAAGGUUCGUACACACGUUUCAAACGCGUUGGCGGAGGGCAUUUAUUUGUGGGACUAACGUAUUAUCCAUCUGUUUUUCUACAGUUGCGAGAGAUGAGUAUUACGAUACUGCCACUUAAUUUUUAAACCGAAACAUAAAUCCAUUUAUGAUCGUGGACGUGAUAUCACGUCGUCAUUGGACAUAUACACUCAAUAGGUUAACCCUUAUCAAGCAGAACAGACACGAUUUUACAAAAUAAUAUAUUAUUAAAAUAUUUACGUCUUAGUGAUUAACCUUUUGGACGCCAAUGACGGAUAUAUCGGCACCGCAGGUCCAACGCCAAAGACGGAUUAAUCGGUCAAAGACCACAGAGCAACAUAGACCUACGUGCAUGUGCAUAAAGUUCAAUUUCAAUUUGACAUUUUGGUUACGUGGCGUCCGAGUGACAGCUUUUGUGUUUGACACGGCGUCGAAAAGGGUAAUGUCAAACUUUAAGUUAAAGUAAUUUGUACGUUUACAUAAUUGUUACAUUUCUUUGAUGAAUAAAAAUAAAGUUUCUGAUUUGAACCUUAGAUUAGAGUGCUAAAGUUGAAAUUCUAAAAACAUGUAUGUAAUUAAUGAAUCGUGGGUACAUGCUCCGGGAAAAGGGUUUUUAUCAGAAAAUAUUUAUCAACAUUCUUGUAAAAUAAAACAUUAACCAAAAUGCCCUUUGCCAACACCUUUGUUGAAUACGUUGGCGGACACAACCCUAUAAAUUUAUAAUAAAAUAUAAGCCAGUGUGUUGUAUCGCGAAAUUAUAAGGACUGAUAAUUAUUGUAUAUAAUGUGUCAAAUAUUGAACUUGAGAAUGAACAAAUCGUCUCAUAUUUAUUAAUAUUUUAUUUUUUCGUAGAUAAUUUGUUACAGUGAGCGAAUGUUGUUGACAUUACGAUGGUUGAUUAUUUUUAAUUGUAACAUCUUAGCAUUACUUAGUUUGUGUUUCAAUGGAUGCAUUUGGUUCCUCAAGUCUUACAUAAACUUUCACUCUUACACGCCAUCUUCAAGAUAAAAACGUCGUGGUUACCUAGAUAGCUUGUGUGAUGACGUUUUUGGCGUGUAGGUGCAAAGCGUGACCGCUUUAGAGGUCCCUGGCGCUGAAAAGGUUAAAAAAGGGUUACACGGUCAACUAAUUUGUGCCAUUGUGGCGGCAUUGUAUGAAGACAAACGUGAUUAGUCUUAGCACGGGAGCGGUGCGACAGCACUCGCGAGAUGGGUAGUCUAUAGGCCAAGCACAUGAUUGGCGCGACCGUAUCUCGCCGCGAGAUAGACUAUCCGUCCUUUUCUAACUGUAUUAAUAUAAUAUGUACUAGCCCGUCAGCGGGCAAGAUACUGUCGCUGCGUUCCUGUGCUAAGCCCUAAUAAAUUUAUGGAGUUAUUUCGCGGUGGUUGCACUUUACGGUAUCGUUACUCUAGGUCGUAUUUCGCUUUCGAUUAUUAAACGCGAGUCAGCGCAGCGCACUUAUUGGUCAUUACUUUAUGUCAACUCUUUGACUAAGUAUAUUAAUUGUAACUUGUAUACCCAAUAUCAGAGCAUCAAAUGUAUCCAUGGAAACGCGUUUACCAUUGACCUCAUGCAUCAUAUUAGCGCUUCUACAGCGGGGCAACGACUAGAUUAUUGUAAAUUAAAUAAAUUGUAAACGACUCUAAUAAGAUUAUAACUGUACACAUUUUUAUUUUGUAAUAAUUCCCUUUCUGACAGUGAGAUGUGGCCUUAAACUGGGUACAUUUGCUGUUGUUAAUAUGUAAAUAAAAGUUGAAAUAUUGUAAAUAAUAAAAAUAUAAAAUUAUAUGUUUUUUGCUAUAAA